UCAGGUGCUGAUUGCCUUCUGUAUCCUCCCUCACGAGGCCUUCAAAUCUUUCGCUCCUUUUUAAAAACUUGGGUUGUUUAUUUUCCUCCUGCUGAGUUUUGAAAGUUCUUGACACAUUUUGGAUAAAAGUUCUUUGUUGAAUAUGUGAUUUGUAAACAUUUUCUCCCAGUCUGUGGCUUGUCUUUCCUAGUUCACAGCAUCUUUCACAGAGCAAACAUGCUUAAUGCUGAUUUGUUCCAAUUGACUCAUUUUUCCCCCCAUUAUAUCUAAGAACUUUUGGCCCAUUUUUGCUUUUGCCACUGAAAACAUCAUAAAAUUGCUCUUCUUCUUGUCUGAAAGUUUUAUACUUCUGAGUCUGUAUUUAAAUCUGAAAUCCAUUUUGAGUUAAUUUUUGCAUAAGGGGUGAAAUUUUGGUUGAGAUUCAUUUUUUUUCUCUAUGAGUGACCAAUUUCUCUGUGCCUUUUGUUGAAACGAGUAGCAUUUGCACAUGUCAGAAACGAACGGGCCAUAUUUGUGUGAUUCUGUUUAUGAACUCUCUAUUUGGUUCUAUUGAUCUCCAGGUCUCUCCUUUUCCCAAUAUUAUAUACUGUCUUGAUACUAUAACUUUAUAUUAAGACAAAAUGGGGUGGUGGUAUUACUCCAACUUUAUCCUUAGUUUUCAAAAUUGCAUCGACUAUUUUAAUUCCUUUGCCUUCCAUAUAAAUUUUAGAAUUAGCCUGUCUGUAUCUACCAAAAACCCUGCAAAAUUUUUGACUAAAAUUAGGUUAAAUCUAGUUUGGAGAGAAUUGGCAUCUUAAAAAUACAGUGUCUGCAAGUCUACAAAUAUGAUAUGACUAUUUGUCAAGGUCUUCGAUAUAUUUCUUCAGCAUUUUGUAAUUUUUGGUAUAAAAAUUCUGUAUAUGUUUGGUUAGAUUCAUACCUAAAUAUUUCAUACUUAUGGAGCUAUUAUAAAUGGUAUAUUUUAAAGAUUUCAUUUUCUAACUGUUUAUUACUAAUAUCAAUACGAUUCAUUUUGUGUGUUGACUUUGUAUCCUACAUCCUUGCUAAAUUCAUCUAUUUGCCUUAGUAUAUUUAUUGUAGAUUCACUGGGAUUUUCUAUGCAGAUAAUCAUGCCAUCUUUCCACAGAGAGAAUUUUAUCUCUCUCUUUCCAGUGUGUAUGGAUUUUAGUUUUUGUUCUUGCCUUGUCCUAAGAAUUCUGUGUAAUUUUGACCAGAAGUGGGAAGGUGGACUUUCUGCGUUCCUUAUCUUAGGAGGGAAGUAUUUAGACUUGACUACACAGUACGAUGUUAGAUGUGGGUUUCUUGUCGAUGUCCUUUAUCAGUCUGAGGACAUUCUCUUCUGUUCCUAUGUUGCUUAGAGUUUUUGUCAUGAUGGAUGCUGAAUUUUGUCAAAUGUCUUCUCUGCGUCAAUUGAUAUGAACAUGUGCUUUUCCUCCCAUAGAGUGUUAAAAUAUUGUAGAUACAUGGAUUGAUUUUCAAAUGUUAAAUCAGCUUUGUACUUGUAAUGUGUCAUACUUUUUAUAUAUUGCUGGAUUUGAUUUGCUGCUAUUUUGUUGAGGAUUUUUACGUCUGUGGUUGUCUUUCUUGUUCAGUCUUUUGGUUUUGGUAUGAGAGUCAUGCUGGCUCUCUAAAAUGAUAUGUGUUUCCUUCUCUUCUCUUAUCUGGAAAAGAUUAUUUAGAAUUGAUGUUAUUUCUUUUUUAAAUGUUUGAUGGAAUUCACUCGUGCAACCAUAUGAACAUGGAUAUAUUUUUUCUGGAGGACUCUAGAAUGAAUUAAAUUCUUUUAAAUUUGUUGAAGAUUUUAUAAUGGUCCAGGAUAUGGUCUAUCUUGCUAUAUCUGUGGGCAUUUAAAAAAUAAUGUGUAUUCUGCUAUUGCCAGGAGGAAUAUUCUAUAGAUGCACUCCCUUCUUCUGGCCUCUGUGGUUUGUAAUGAGAAAUACAUAGUAAUUAAAAGCAUUGUUCCCAUAUAAGCAAUGCAUCAUUUUUCUCUGGAUGCUUUCAAGAGAUUUUCUUGUGUUUGGUUUUCAGCGGUUUGUUUUUCAUGUAUCUGGGCAUUAAUUUAUACACACACACACACACACACACACACACAUAUAUAAUAUAUCCUAUUUGGGGUUCACUGUACUUUAUGUAUUUCAUAAAAUUUAGGAAGUUUUCACCCAUUUGUUUAAAAAAAUACUUUGUUCUAUAUUAUGCUCUUUCCUUUUAUUCUGGACUUCUUAUGACAUAAAUAUUAGCUCUUCUGGUAUUGUCCCAUAGGUCCUUUAGGCUCUAUUUAUUUUUUUAAAAAACAGUUUUCCUCUGUGCUGUUUAAACUGGAUAAUUUCUAUUGAUCUAUUUUCAAGUUCAAGUUCAUUGAAUCUUCCCUCUGUCAUCUCCAUUUCACUAUUUAGCCUAUGUGGUAAGAUUUUUAUUUUGGAUACUAUAUUUUUUCUGUCCUAAAAUUUCUAUUUCCAUCUUCCAUUUAUUUGCCCAAAUUUUCUAUCUCUCCAUUUGUUCCAACUGUGUUUGCAAUUUCUUACUCGUGCCUUUGUUUGUUUGUUUCCAGUUUUUAUUUCAAUUCCAGUUAGUUAACACACCAUGUAAUAUUAGUUUCAGAAGUAAAAUUUAUAGUAGCUGCUUUCAAGUCUUUGUCAGAUAAUUUCAGCAUGUGUGUCACCUUGGGGUGACAUCUGUGUUUUCUUUUCACAUGUGAGUUUAGAUUUUCCUGGUUCUUUGUAUAUUGGGUAGAUUUGGGUGGUAUUCUGGAUGUUUGAGUACUAUGAAACUGUACAUAUUAUUUUAGUCCAAGGGAGAGUGUUGACUUUUUGUUUUAGCAGACAAUCAGCCCAGUUGGGUUUAGGCUGCACAUUUUUACCAAUCCUCUGUUGGAUGUGACUUAAAUAUUCUUCCAUUUUCAAAGCCUUUUUAGGGCUAUUCAUAUCCAUCUCACAUGUGCAUCACCCAGUGGCCAGUUCUAUGUCCUUCGUGGUGGUGUAUAUCUUGGUUCAGUCCUUAAAGUCUUUAGUUUGCUAUUUAGGAUUAGAUCCACCCACGUCCAGCUCAAGGUGAGUCUCAGUGGUCAUAAGUUACCUUAUGGAAUCCGUUUCCUGUGUUCUUCCCUCUCAGGGACCUUCCUGGUGCUUUCCAGUUCUUUGGAGACAUUCUUUUAGUCUCCAGGCAGAGACUUUCAGUCAGAAACUUAGGACUUUAUUUACCACGCACUGCCAUGCACUCCCAUGAAUGCACUUGUGUCUGGGGCCAACAGGUGGAAGGACAGGGAAAGGAAAAAAGCAACAGAGGCUCCCCCCAUUCCUUUGGGACCACAGCUCCUCCAAUCAGGAAAGAAGUUCCUCCUUCUGGAGAGUUUUAGAUGCUUGCUCUUCCAAGUGCUGCUGCUGUCGGUGCCAGUAGACUUCUUUCCCCCUCACUGAGCUGAACUAGUGGCCUUUUCUGGGGCUCUCUCUUCCCACUUUGAUGCCUGCUUUUCCCAGUGUUUCCUCCAAGUCCUGGCCAGAGCUACUGGAGAAAAACAAUGGUAAACACUGUCAUACUUUGAAGUUUGGUCCAUUUUCCUAAUCUACCUGCUACUUUUCAAAGUCUUUAAAUAGCUGCAUUCUGUCCAGAUUUUAUAGCUGCAUUCAGUGGGAGAGACAGGGUGGUGUUACUCCAUUUUACCCAGAACUGAACCCUCUUAUGGUUUGUUUUUAUAUUCUGAGCUUAGUGACCCAUGUAAGUAACAUGGCCUUUCGGAACCUUUAGUGCCAAGUUUUGGCUAAGCUACACCCUCUCUUCCUUUACUCUGUGGUUUUUUGAAUCCCGAGCCACUAAGUCAUGUCUCAAACGUUUUUGAGAACGUUUUAGGGAAUCUAGUCCGCCGUGAGAACAGGACCUUGAUGGGGCUAUGCUCUCAGCUCGUGUCAUGUCCCAGAAUGAGAGCACACACAGAACAAAGACAGGCAGCGUCCCAGCCGACCUCCAGACUCAUACGUGAGAAAUAAAUACUUGUUGUCGAGGUCAGAAACUUCAUGGGCAGAGCUUGAAAGGUAAGAGGCACUUGUGGAAAACAACUGAUGAAAGACCAAAGAAAACAAUGGGCUCGAGGAUUUCACCAUAGGAGUCCCUGGGGCCCCUGGCACUUCCAGCCUGGACCUCCUGGGGCAGAUGGACAGAUGGACAGAUGGACAACUGCUGGGUUAAGUCCAGGCUGAAUAUAUACUUUGAAGUGGCACACUAAUUUUUUUCUGAUUUUUUUUUUGUCAUUCCAGCUGAAUCUAGAAGUAGCCAAGUAUAAUUCACAAAGUCAUAUACAAAUAUAACCUAUACUUCAGGUGGAUUUGAUUGAGGAAUCACAUGGCUUAAGUUAACUGAAAUUCUGAUAAGCUGGAUGACCUUGAGCAAAUCAUUGAUUUCUUUUCUCAUUCUCAUUUUUAUUACCCAUAAAAAGGAAGAGGGAUAAGGGUGGAUAAGAGUUGGAUUACUCAUUUUCUUUUUUUUUUCUAAUUUGUUUUAAUGUUUAUUUAUUUUUGAGAGAGAGAGAGAGAGAGAGAGAGAGAACGUGGGGGAGGGGCAGAGAGAGGGAGAAACAGAAUCUGAGGCAGGCUCCAGGCUCAGAGCUGUUGGCACAAGCCCAACCCAGGGCUUGAACCCACAGAUUGUGAGAUCAUGGCCUGAGCCAAAGUCGGCCGCUUAACCUACUGAGCCACCCAGGUGCCCUUGGAUUACUCUUUUUCAAAGGUCUCUUUUUUAGUGUAAUUAUGUUCUGAUUUUUUUUUUAAUUUUACAUUUUUCUUUAGUUUGGAUGCCCACACAGUUUAGAUGUAGUCAUAAGAGGGCCCAAGUCAUUAUAUGGAAGGCCCUGGUGUAAAAAUCCCAUUUCAAGUAUUUGGCAUUUUAUUAGAGUGAAGAAACGCAGAUUGCAUCACUAAACAGAACCAUCAAUAAUAGCUCAGUGGUUUUUGGGGCCUGCCAGACUGGGGGGUGUGCAGCUCUCCGGAACACCUCGGCUUCUCAGCUGCAAGCUGCCUUCUCAGUUUCCUCCCCAGCUUUGCUUGGUCCCUGCAGGCCACUCUCAGCUCCCAACCCUAUGGUUUCUUUGCCCUGGCCCUGGAAGGGCAAGUCAGGAUUCGCUCUUCUUUGCUACCUGCCGCUGCUUCUACUCAGAAAGGAAGGCAAAGAGACUGUAUUUUUGGCUUCCUGUAUGCCACUGAUGAAAAGUGUUGUUGGUUCCUCACUGUCCACAGCCCUCCCUCGGAGUUGUGUACAAAGGCUCACAGAACCAUUGAGCUGGAAUGGACAUUGCUCGGUUCAAUAAGUUUAGACAGGAGGAAUCAAAACCUGGGGAUUUUGACUUCCUCAAUCCAGUCCCAGAACUGACUAGAGGUGCGGUUGAAUAUAUAACUGGGUCUGUGAACCCCUAUACCAUGUUAAUGUGCUAAAGUUAAUCUGCUUCAGGAAUUUGAGGAAAAAAUAAAAUAUAUAAUAAAAUGCAAAACGAUCCCUAAAUUUUACAGGUUAGAAACAGAAAGAGUGAUUUAGUAGUUUGGUUCCUGCCUUCUAGUUCUUAUUCUUCUCUGCCCUUAAACAUGUAAUUUUGGUCAGAACACUCGACAAUAACAAUCCAUCAUUAAAAAGGCUUUUGCAGUUAAUCAGCUUUGAAAUAGCAACAACUAAAUAAUACUAGUACUACUAUGAAGAAAAGAAGAAAGGAAAAGAAAAAAAAAAAACAAAGCAAAAACCCCAAUAGGCUGCUGGUUUUAUGAGGUUCACAAGAGGACUGACAAAUCACUCAGCCUGUAUGCCUCAGCUAGCUAUCUAGUUAUCAAUUAUGUAUCAUAAUUCGUCCUUGUAACAUCCUUUGAAAUAUUCAGAUAAAAGAGUCUAAAGGGGCAAAAUAAUUAAGAUGAUUAGUUCCAGCAGAAAAAAGUUUAAAUUGCCGUUCUAUGCAGCGUGUUUCACAUUAUGUUAUUCUUCGUUCUUAUCUUCCCUACCGCACAUACAUAAGAUGUCCGAAGGGGCACGGAUAGUGUAGAUUCAGUGGUGGGAGGCAAAAAACUAGUCACAUCCUGUGCUUUGCAUGCAGUGCCUUAUUCAAUAUUUCUAACAAGCCCCUCAAAGAAGGAAAGGUAAGGAAACUGAGGCCCAGAGAGAAUAUAUUCUCAAAAUCACACAGAACCUAGACUUGAACACAGACCUUUCUAACUCCAAAAUCUGUGCUCUUGAUUUCUUCUCUUGCUCUGUGCAUGCAUCUUGAAGGGAAGUACAACAGGGGUGUGUAUUGAGGCCAGAAGGGCAUGUAUACAAGAUCGUCUGGCUCUGUCUGCACAUUGAUUAAUGCACUGUUGUGUGCACCACUUGCCAAUUAGUCUUGAGGUCCUGUGAGAUAGAGAUGAAGCCGACACUGUCCCCAUCCUCAAGGUCUUGUAAGGGGAGACAGAUGCUAAACAUCCUCGGGGAAAUAUUCCAAGUACUCGAAUAGAUGUGUACAGAGCAGUGGUGGCUCUAAAAUAUUUAUUGAGGGGCAAUUUGGUAUGGUCAGUUGGUUCUAAACAUCUCUGCCUCUAAACAUCCUCACCUCUUUCCGUGUCCUCUCUUGUGUUGCAAAAGGCUAGAGAGCAGAAGUCUAAUUUUCCAUGACUCCCUUGCAGCUAAUAUUCCCCAUGUAAAAUAGGUUCUACCAAAUCGAUGCAUUUGCACAAGACUUGGAAAUUAGAAAAGUCUAUCUUCCUGACACUUGUAUUGAUAAGCUGGGCUCAGAGUAGAGAGUGUUGAGAGGCAGUUACAGCAGCUGAAGUCAAUCUGUCACUUGCACUGUGGGAUUCCUAGUGCCUAUACCACUUGGGUUGAUGGCAGUGUCUGCCUGAGUCCUAUGGUAGAGUGUUCUUGAACCAGGUAGUUCCCAGGACACUUCCUGGUUCCUUCUGCAGCCCUUCCAACAAUUUUAUAAGCACUUAAUUCUUGUAAUCAAUCCCUUUCUCAUUUAUAUACAUAGAGCAGAAUCUGUUUCCUGCCCUCAAGGCUAACAGAGAUAAAGAGGUUUAGGGAGAGGAUCUGGCUCUUUUGAACGCAUUCCUCUGAACUUAUCUGGAGAAGUCAUUUGUAUGGCAAGCACCUUGGGUUUCUAUCAUCAUGUGUUUAUUUUGACUGGCUUAGGGUGGAGAAGCACAUCAAGGUUGAGAGACUGUAAAAGCCAUCCCAAACAACCCUUGUACCCUCUCCCUAGCCUCUGUAAGCUAGAGAGAAUAAUAAAGAAACUGAUAAGGUAACAGUAAGGCUGGUCUAUGAGGUGUGGGUUGGGAAGUAGGGGGGCUGGUCAGGGAAGACUGCACAGAAGCAGCAGCUCUGGAGUUGGGUCUUGGGAGAUGGUGGCCCUUUGUUGGCAGACACGGGGAACUGUGGGGUAUUCCAGGUAGAGGAGCACAAGGCUCAGAAACCUGAAGAGAAGAGAAGGUUCCCAAUGGAACCUUCAGGACCAUACAUUGUUCAGUGUGACGAGAGCACAGGGGGUUGGCAGAGACCUGGAGAGGUCCUCACUGGUCCAAACCUGCAGGGUCACAUACACCUCACCCCAAAGUUUGCAUUGCAUCCUGCAGGCAAUGGGAGAAUUUUGAUGGGUUUCAAGCCAGGAAGUGACAUGGUUGGUUUGGAUUUUGGGAAAAACAUUCUGGCAGCAGCAAUGAGGACGGAAAAUGAGACUGAUGCCGGAAAGACACUUGGGGCACUUGGGAAAUUCAGUGACAGAAGAUGUGAGUGAAAACUGAGGUUGUGUUAUGAGGAGCACAGGCUAGUGCCCAGAGCAGUGCAGCUGGGAAGCAAAGGGGGGUGG